rnacentral:rRNA from 1 species
GAUCAUGGCUCGGGAUGAACGCUGGCGGCGCGCCUAACACAUGCAAGUCGAACGAGAGAUGAGGAGCUUGCUCUUCAAAUCGAGUGGCGAACGGGUGAGUAACGCGUGAGGAACCUGCCUCAAAGAGGGGGACAACAGUUGGAAACGACUGCUAAUACCGCAUAAGCCCACGGCUCGGCAUCGAGCAGGGGGAAAAGGAGCAAUCCGCUUUGAGAUGGCCUCGCGUCCGAUUAG